AUUGAACGCUGGCGGCAGGCCUAACACAUGCAAGUCGAGCGGGGUUUUCGGACCUAGCGGCGGACGGGUGAGUAAUGCGUAGGAAGCUACCCGAUAGAGGGGGAUACCAGUUGGAAACGACUGUUAAUACCGCAUAAUGUCUACGGACCAAAGUGUGGGACCUUCGGGCCACAUGCUAUCGGAUGCGCCUACGUGGGAUUAGCUAGUUGGUGAGGUAAUGGCUCAACAAGGCGACGAUCCCUAGCUGGUUUGAGAGGAUGAUCAGCCACACUGUAACUGAGACACGGUCCAGACUCCUACGGGAGGCAGCAGUGGGGAAUAUUGGACAAUGGGCGCAAGCCUGAUCCAGCCAUGCCGCGUGUGUGAAGAAGGCCUUCGGGUUGUAAAGCACUUUCAGUAGGGAGGAAGCGUUGUGUGUUAAUAGUACACAGCGUUGACGUUACCUACAGAAGAAGCACCGGCUAACUCUGUGCCAGCAGCCGCCGCGGUA
rnacentral:rRNA from 1 species